AGAUUGAACGCUGGCGGCAGGCCUAACACAUGCAAGUCGAGCGGUAGAGAGGUGCUUGCAUCUCUUGAGAGCGGCGGACGGGUGAGUAAUGCCUAGGAAUCUGCCUAGUGGUGGGGGAUAACGUUCGGAAACGGACGCUAAUACCGCAUACGUCCUACGGGAGAAAGCGGGGGACCUUCGGGCCUCGCGCCAUUAGAUGAGCCUAGGUCGGAUUAGCUAGUUGGUGAGGUAAUGGCUCACCAAGGCGACGAUCCGUAACUGGUCUGAGAGGAUGAUCAGUCACACUGGAACUGAGACACGGGUCCAGACUCCACGGGAGGCAGCAGUGGGGAAUAUUGGACAAUGGGCGAAAGCCUGAUCCAGCCAUGCGCGUGUUGUGAAGAAGGUCUUUACGGAUUGUAAAAGCACGUUUAAAGUUGGAAGGAAGGGUUGUAAACCUAAUACGUUGACAACUUUGACGUUACCGACUAGAAUAAGCGACCGCUAACUUCGUG
rnacentral:rRNA from 1 species